CCGGAAACAGAGUGGAAGGUUACAAAAUUUCUAAGAGCAGAAGUGGUUUUCAAGUAGUAAGUGGAAACAAAAAAUAACCUAACCUCUUUAAGAUAACCACCAGAACCAGCAAGAGAGUGCUGCUGUGCUGUGUGAGGAAAUGUGCUGGCCAAGGCAGUGAAUUAGCGGCAUGUCUGUGUGACUUAGUGAGGUGGCUUCAGUAAAGACACGGAGAGCCUUCCAGCCUCUGCUAUUCAAGGUGAUUGCAGUUGUGAAAUACACAUGCCUUCACUAUAAGGGGAAAUGGAGCAGUUCUAACUUCCUCCUUUUUUUGAGAACUUAAGUACAAAACCUCCUGAUAUUCAAGCCAAUACUGUAUCAACAAAGUUAAUUUGAGCAAACUUUGAACACCCUUUGCAGGCCCUGUUCUGGAAUCCUUCCAGUGGUGACCCUCAAACUUUAGCAUGCAAAAAUACAAAUCUGCUAGGGAACUGAUCAACGGUGCAGAUUUCUGAGCGCCACCUCCUGAGAUUCUGAUUCAUUGAUUUGACGACAGCUAGAAUCUGCAUUUUAACAACUCCAGUGUUCAUAUGUAGUCUACCUAAGCACUCUCUGAGACAAGCAACAACUGCCUUGUGAACUUCGAGCCAAUGGAAAACCUGACUGGGAAACUUGUUUCAUCAUUAAACCAACUUUACAAUCUCA